AACGAACGCUGGCGGCAUGCCUAACACAUGCAAGUCGAACGAGACCUUCGGGUCUAGUGGCGCACGGGUGCGUAACGCGUGGGAACCUGCCCUUAGGUUCGGAAUAACUCCCCGAAAGGGGUGCUAAUACCGGAUAAUGUCUUCGGACCAAAGAUUUAUCGCCUUUGGAUGGGCCCGCGUUGGAUUAGCUAGUUGGUAGGGUAAAAGCCUACCAAGGCGACGAUCCAUAGCUGGUCUGAGAGGAUGAUCAGCCACACUGGGACUGAGACACGGCCCAGACUCCUACGGGAGGCAGCAGUGGGGAAUAUUGAACAAUGGGCGAAAGCCUGAUCCAGCAAUGCCGCGUGAGUGAUGAAGGCCUUAGGGUUGUAAAGCUCUUUUACCCGGGAUGAUAAUGGCAGUACCGGGAGAAUAAGCUCCGGCUAACUCCGUG
rnacentral:rRNA from 1 species